AAACACUUUUAGUUUUUUUAAAUGAAAAAGGUAUAGCAGGCAACAUUACAAAAAGUCGGUCUGAAUACAGAGGUAUUGUUGGUGUCGGCACUUCAUUUCGAUUCAAAGUCAAUAAUUAGCAUACAGAAAUCUGAUUCAGAUCUCACUGACAACUGUUAAUCGUCAGAAUGGCAUCCGUCCCUGAAAAGGAAACUCUAGAAUCAUGGGAGAAAAUGAUGGCGUGCUGUUUUUCCUGUGGAUUUGUUUGGUUCAAAAAGGGCUGUGGAUCGUCCUGCUGUAUCAAUGUGCUACUUGGAAUGUGUUUGGGCAUGUGUUGUGUCAACAUUUGCCAUGCUUGCUCAUACGUAGGUGAACCAUCUGAUUAUGAGAGUCCAUGUGCUGUUAUAGCAGUUCAUGGAGAACGACGGCCUAUUACAAAACAACCACAUUAAAGCACAAAAGAAAAACCUUAGCCUUUUAGCCCAGCAGAAUAAAUUCAAGUUCACAUUUUGGUAGA